rnacentral:sRNA from 1 species
GUCGUGAGAUGUUGGGUUAAGUCCCGCAACGAGCGCAACCCCUGUUCUUAGUUACCAGCGCGUAAUGGCGGGGACUCUAGGAAGACUGCCGGUGCCAAACCGGAGGAAGGUGGGGACGACGUCAAGUCAUCAUGGUCCUUACGUCUAGGGCUACACACGUGCUACAAUGGGUCGGACAGUGGGGGCCGAGGCAGCAAUGCCAGGGCAAUCCCAAAACCGAUCCUCAGUUCGGAUUGUCGUCUGCAACUCGACGGCAUGAAGCUGGAAUCGCUAGUAAUCGUGGAUCAGCAUCGCCACGGUGAAUACGUUCCCGGGCCUUGUACACACCGCCCGUCACGCCAUGGAAGCUGCGAGCGCCCGAAGUCGGUGCCGGAACCCUUACGGGGCCAAGCCGCCGAAGGCGAGCGUAGUGACUGGGGCGAAGUCGUAACAAGGUAGCCGUAGGGGAACCUGCGGCUGGAUCACCUCCUUAACGGAGCUGCGAGUAAGGCAGAACAAGCCUGGGCAACCAGGAGUUACUUUGCCGGAAAGCACUCACGUGUCGCUCGUCUCGCAACAUCCAGAUCUCAAUCUCGAUUUCCAUAUAAAGAGCCCGAAGCACUCCGCGGCAACGCGGGUGAUCCGGGCUCGAAAGAACAAGAGGGACUUGAAGCUAAGUCCUUAAGCACCAAGCGACAGAGCGCUUAUAUCUCGAAAGCUUUUUGACAAUGGAAGGUAGUAGUGAUCGUGGGAUUUGAGCACCUGGACCUGAUAAGAUUCGGGUGCUGAGAAUCAACACUAGUGACACAAUUUCAUGAAAGCUCUGACCUAACGGUUGGGGCUCGAUUUGUCUCAAAGAGCUUAACCGCUCCGAGAGUCCAAAGAUUGUAUCACUCGUUAGAUCGUGCGUGUUUCUGUUUGAACAAGUUAUUUGAUCAAGCGAAAGAAAGUAUGUGGGGGAUGCCUAGGUACACAGAGGCGAUGAAGGCCGUGGUAAGCUGCGAUAAGCCAGGGGGGGCUGCACACAAGCUAUGAGCCCUGGAUGG